rnacentral:misc_RNA from 1 species
GGAAGAGCAAGAUAGACAAACAGAUGAUUUAAGGAAUGCUCUGAACUCCCAAAUGGGUGAAAUAGAAUUGCGCAUUCUUGUCGAGGAUUGCUUGAAUCACUAUUUUGAUCUCUUUCGCUUGAAAGCUACAGCCGCAAAUGCCGAUGUUCUCUACCUUAUGUCUGGCACAUGGAAGACAUCAGCUGAGCGCUUCUUCUUGUGGAUUGGGGGGUUUCGCCCCUCCGAACUUCUAAAGGUUCUCACGCCACAUGUGGAACCAUUGUCAGAUCAACAAAUCCAGGAGGUUAGCAACCUCACCCAGUCUUGUCAGCAGGCAGAAGAUGCGUUGUCCCAAGGAAUGGUAAAAC